rnacentral:rRNA from 1 species
AUUGAACGCUGGCGGCAUGCCUUACACAUGCAAGUCGAACGGUAACAGGUCUUCGGAUGCUGACGAGUGGCGAACGGGUGAGUAAUACAUCGGAACGUGCCCGAUCGUGGGGGAUAACGAAGCGAAAGCUUUGCUAAUACCGCAUAAGAUCUACGGAUGAAAGCAGGGGACCGCAAGGCCUUGCGCGAACGGAGCGGCCGAUGGCAGAUUAGGUAGUUGGUGGGAUAAAAGCUUACCAAGCCGACGAUCUGUUGCUGGUCUGAGAGGACGACCAGCCACACUGGGACUGAGACACGGCCCAGACUCCUACGGGAGGCAGCAGUGGGGAAUUUUGGACAAUGGGCGAAAGCCUGAUCCAGCCAUGCCGCGUGCAGGAUGAAGGCCUUCGGGUUGUAAACUGCUUUUGUACGGAACGAAAAGACUCUGGUUAAUACCUGGGGUCCAUGACGGUACCGUAAGAAUAAGCACCGGCUAACUACGUG